GACGAACCGUGCAAACGUUGUUCGGAAUCACUGGGCUUAAAGGGCGCGUAGGCGGGCAGGCAAGUCGGAGGUGAAAGCCCACGGCUCAACCGUGGAAGUGCCCCCGAUACUGCCAGUCUUGAGGGAGGUAGGGGCGUGCGGAACUUCCGGUGGAGCGGUGAUAUGCGUAGAUAUCGGGAGGAACACCUGUGGCGAAGGCGGCUUUCUGGGCCUUACCUGACGCUGAGACGCGAAAGCGUGGGGAGCGAACCGG
rnacentral:rRNA from 1 species